rnacentral:rRNA from 1 species
UACGUAGGGUGCGAGCGUUGUCCGGAAUUACUGGGCGUAAAGCGCGCGUAGGCGGUUUUGCAAGUCAGAGGUGAAAUGCCUGAGCUCAACUUAGGAAUUGCCUUUGGGACUGCGAGGCUUUGAGGACGGGAGAGGUGAGUGGAACUGCGAGUGUAGAGGUGAAAUUCGUAGAUAUUCGCAAGAACACCAGUGGCGAAGGCGGCUCACUGGCCCGGUACUGACGCUGAGGUGCGAAAGCGUGGGGAGCAAACAGG